rnacentral:rRNA from 1 species
CCUAGUAACGGCGAGUGAAGCGGCAACAGCUCAAAUUUGAAAUCUGGCGUCUUUGGCGUCCGAGUUGUAAUUUGCAGAGGGCGCUUUGGCAUUGGCAGCGGUCCAAGUUCCUUGGAACAGGACGUCACAGAGGGUGAGAAUCCCGUACGUGGUCGCUAGCCUUUACCGUGUAAAGCCCCUUCGACGAGUCGAGUUGUUUGGGAAUGCAGCUCUAAAUGGGAGGUAAAUUUCUUCUAAAGCUAAAUACUGGCCAGAGACCGAUAGCGCACAAGUAGAGUGAUCGAAAGAUGAAAAGCACUUUGGAAAGAGAGUUAAAAAGCACGUGAAAUUGUUGAAAGGGAAGCGCUUGCAGCCAGACUUGCCUGUAGUUGCUCAUCCGGGUUUUUACCCGGUGCACUCUUCUAUAGGCAGGCCAGCAUCAGUUUGGGCGGUUGGAUAAAGGUCUCUGUCACGUACCUCCUCUCGGGGAGAACUUAUAGGGGAGACGUAAUGCAACCAGCCUGGACUGAGGUCCGCGCAUCUGCUAGGAUGCUGGCGUAAUGGCUGUAAGCGGCCCGUCUUGAAACACGGACCAAGGAGUCUAACAUCUAUGCGAGUGUUUGGGUGUCAAGCCCGAGCGCGUAAUGAAAGUGAACGGAGGUGGGAACCUUUCGGGGUGCACCAUCGACCGAUCCUGAUGUCUUCGGAUGGAUUUGAGUAAGAGCAUAGCUGUUGGGACCCGAAAGAUGGUGAACUAUGCUUGAAUAGGGUGAAGCCAGAGGAAACUCUGGUGGAGGCUCGCAGCGGUUCUGACGUGCAAAUCGAUCGUCAAAUUUGGGCAUAGGGGCGAAAGACUAAUCGAACUAUCUAGUAGCUGGUUCCUGCCGAAGUUUCCCUCAGGAUAGCAGUAACGUUUUCAGUUUUAUGAGGUAAAGCGAAUGAUUAGAGGCCUGGGGGUUGAAACAACCUUCACCUAUUCUCAAACUUUAAAUAUGUAAGAAGUCCUUGUUACUUAAUUGAACGUGGACACGUUGAAUGUAUCGUUACUAGUGGGCCAUUUUUGGUAAGCAGAACUGGCGAUGCGGGAUGAACCGAACGCGGGGUUAAGGUGCCAGAAUAUACGCUCAUCAGACACCACAAAAGGUGUUAGUUCAUCUAGACAGCAGGACGGUGGCCAUGGAAGUCGGAAUCCGCUAAGGAGUGUGUAACAACUCACCUGCCGAAUGAACUAGCCCUGAAAAUGGAUGGCGCUCAAGCGUAUUACCCAUACCCCGCCGCUGGGGCAAGAUUUAAGCCCCAGCGAGUAGGCAGGCGUGGAGGUCAGUGACGAAGCCUG